rnacentral:rRNA from 1 species
AGUGAACGCUGGCGGUAGGCCUAACACAUGCAAGUCGAACGGCAGCACAGUAAGAGCUUGCUCUUACGGGUGGCGAGUGGCGGACGGGCGAGGAAUACAUCGGAAUCUACUUUUUCGUGGGGGAUAACGUAGGGAAACUUACGCUAAUACCGCAUACGACCUACGGGUGAAAGCAGGGGAUCUUCGGACCUUGCGCGAUUGAAUGAGCCGAUGUCGGAUUAGCUAGUUGGCGGGGUAAAGGCCCACCAAGGCGACGAUCCGUAGCUGGUCUGAGAGGAUGAUCAGCCACACUGGAACUGAGACACGGUCCAGACUCCUACGGGAGGCAGCAGUGGGGAAUAUUGGACAAUGGGCGCAAGCCUGAUCCAGCCAUACCGCGUGGGUGAAGAAGGCCUUCGGGUUGUAAAGCCCUUUUGUUGGGAAAGAAAAGCAGCAGGUUAAUACCCCGCUGUUCUGACGGUACACAAAGAAUAAGCACCGGCUAACUUCGUG